GUUACUUUGCCGGAGUGGUUAACGGGAUGGCCUGCUAUUAGCUCUCCGUUGUGACUCAGGCAGCCAUUGGGCUUUGCCCGCGUGUGUUCGAAUCGCACAGGUGACG